AUUGAACGCUGGCGGCAGGCCUAACACAUGCAAGUCGAGCGAGCGGCGGACGGGUGAGUAAUGUAUGGGGACUGCCCGAUAGAGGGGGAUUACUACUGGAAACGGUAGCUAAUACCGCAUACUGUCGGGGGACCGGUAUGGGAUGAGCUAGUAGGUGAGGUAAUGGCUCACCUAGGCGACGAUCCCUAGCGGGGCUGAGAGGAUGAUCGGCCACACUGGGACUGAGACACGGCCCAGACGCCUACGGAGGCAGCAGUGGGGAAGAUGGGACGAUGGGCGCAAGCCUGAUGCAGCCAUGCCGCGUGUAUGAAGAAGGCCCUAGGGUUGUAAAGUACUUUCAGUCGGGAGGCGUUACCGACAGAAGAAGCACCGGCUAACUCCGUGCCAGCAGCCGCGGUAAUAC
rnacentral:rRNA from 1 species